AGUCGAUGGGUAGGUAGGAGUCAAUGGGUUGGAUAAAUCGGUGGAAAUUAUGUGUAAGUUCUCGGAGCAGUACGCACACCGGCCCAACACCUUCUUCCACCACUCCAUGGCGAUUGUUGGGUCGCUGGACAUGAAGCAAAGGACGUGACCAUGGAAGCCAUGCCACAAGCUGCUGAGCAUCGGACCAAGGUGAUUCCGCUCAACGUCAAUCAUGUAUCUAGUAAAGAUAGGGGCGAGAUAGAUGCAUGUGGCCCUGAUGCAGCAGGCGGGAAGGGGAGAAGUGGAGCUGGUCGAUGGCCAGGAGGACAUGAUCCUUGAUGUCAUGGUGCCUUUUAUAAUCUGGGCAGUUUGGAUAUGUGUUGAGCAAGUGUAGUAGUAGCGUCCUCUUUAAGGUGAUUUGCAUGUAUAGCUAGACGAUGGUAGCUAGAUGAGUGUGUAGUUCUUCCUGAUGUUAGCUAGCUGAUG